AGCAUCCUCAGCUUGGAGGAUUCCAGAAUAUGACCCCCUAGAUGGCGCAGUGGAUAGAGCACCGGCCCUGAGUUCGAAUCCGGCCUCAGACUGAACACUUGACGCUUACUAGCUGUGUGACCCUGGGCAAGUCACUUAACCCCAACAAAACAAAAACAGAAUAUGAUCCCCAGUGACAAUCCCCAGUCCAGAGGAAGACCCACCAUUCACAGCUAUUAUCAGGGCAAUAGGUAAGAAUGCACAGAGACCUGAGUUGAGUGUGUCCUAUCACAGAUUUGGGGGCUUAGGAAACCCUGAUAUAGUCUUAAACUGAAAGUGGGUGGAUACAUAUGGGGUUUGUUUGUUUUUUUUAACUAUUUUCAGAAAACUGCUUCCUUUCUUUCCUGCUAGCAUUCCAGAGUUUCGGCAUCAGAAAAACCAUUUGGCUCCAGCAUGUCCCCUGGGCAAAAUCUGAUCCCAGCAUCAGAAAGACUUCUCAGAGGCAGUGUGAUGUAGUGGUUAGAGCGCUGGACUUGGAGUCAGUCAAGGUUCAAAUUCCAGCUCAGAAACCUAUGAGUUGUAUGAGCAUGGGCAAGUCACUUGACCUCUCUGGUGCGGCAUGUUUUUUGUCACUGGAAAAAUGAAGAUAAAUAAUACCUGUAGUAUCUACCUCCCAGGCCUGUUGGGAAGCUCAAAUAAGAUACCAUGAUAAAGAUGAAGCCCUUUGCAAAGCUUAAAUCACUUCACAAAUAUCAAUUAUUACUUAUCACUAUUCAGUUACAGGCUAAAAAAUGGUCAUCCAAGCAUGGGAAGGGCUGCCCAGACCCAGACUAUCCCCUGGGGUGACAGUGACACCAGCCUGAUGCUCAUCCCCAGCUUGUCCCCAAGGCACAGGGUGAUCCUAGCAUCUGGACCAAUCAGUGGCAGCCAGUCCUCUGUGCUGAGAUGAUUGACUGAGCAAAAUAAGCACAAUGAUAAAACAACUGAAAGAGAAUGUUGCAGAAUGAAAAAGAAUAAGCAUGGUCCAAAGAGGAGAUACGAGAAGAUGCCUCCUCCCACUCCUUUGCAGACAGAAGAUCCUUGGGCAUGGAACAGAGCUUAUAUUUUCUCACUUUUUUGAUGUUUUGCUUGGUUUUGCUGAUUUUUUCUUCUUCUUUUUCUUUGAAGAUAUUCUUUGUUAUAUGGGAUGGCUCUCUGGGAGGUGAGGAGGGAUGGGAUACUGGGAGAUAUAAAUAUGCCACUAAAAUAGUAUCUUUUUAAAAAUUAGCCUUGUCUAGAUAGUGCUUCUGGGUCUGACAAUAUCCUCAUAACUACUGGUACCCAGCUCUGCCUUUGGAGAGGAGUAAGCAGGAUGAACAUUUCUUGGCUUUUAGCAGACCACAUGCCCUGGGGGCCACUUAAUUCAGGAUGGAGAGUUCCUCCAUGAAGUCUAUGCCCAGGUUCUCUCCGAAUGUCUGUUCAGGUAUGGAGAAUUAUCUGGAAGAUGUUCUGUGCUUCUGCAAACAAGUCCUAGGAGCUUUCCCAAGAAGGGAAUAAGGAAAGCUUCCCAAGAAAGCCCGAGCACCUGAGCAUGAAUUCCCUCCUCAACAGAUGUGAGGGCCCCUGGAUCCAUCCUCUUAUCCAGUCAUGGUUCUUCCCCUGAUGCUGUCCCUGGGUUGGUGGUGCUGGACUCAUGUUCCUAGGCUCCAGGGUUAGCUGGGCAGCCAGCAAUGUUUCAAUGCCACCAGCAUUCAAUACUUCCAGCAGGGCAUUGUCCUUCCCUGCCCAACUAUGGGUCUGGAAAGCAGAGUCCUUGGAAUGUGCACCAAAUCUGUUGUGAUUUUCAAGGAAUUUGCAUUAUGCAUUACUGCAGAGAAACCAAGAAGGACUGUCCAGGUGGGAGAAUUCAAAGUUACAAAUUAAAGUUUAAAGACUUACACGGUAAAUAGCUGGAUCCUGAUGGUGAACUUCAGCUCCUCUCAUUCCACUUUGCUCUCACCUUGGUCCUACUCUCUUCCCACACAGCCCCUUAGUCUCUGAGCCUCCCUCCCCCUCACAUUCUAAGGGAACAUUUAGGAGAUGCACAGGAGACAAUAAGCAUGCCUGAUCAUUGUGUAAUAAGGAAAUGAGGCCAGUGUCCAAGGCAGUCCAGAGACCACAGUGAACACCUGGCUCUCCCUUCUCCACUGUGCUUCAAAUGAAAACCCCCAACAGAUCUUAUGACGUGGCCUUCUUUUUCAUUGCCAGAAUGAGCAGCACUAUGUUUCCUCUCACCACCUGAAGUACCUGGUGCACUGACUAACUACCAAGGGCUUCAGGCAUGCCAAACCAAUGGGCACGACUAUAGGAUCAUGACUAUAGCAGCAGGACAAGUCAGAGGAACAAAGCCCAGUCCCUCUGCCUGAGUGUGCCAAAGGGUUUGUGCUGUGAUCGAGGCUUUUGGUGGCAACUCCUUUGCAGGCCAGACCCAUUUCCAGUCCGACCUGUGAUAUCUGAUAGGAGACUGCGAAUGGAACUAAGAGCCAACCUGCCUCUUGAAGAAGAUAAAGAAGAUGAAUGGAGGAUGAUUCCACCUGGUCAUGAGAUGUUUUCCCUACCACUGAGUUUCUCUGGUACAGGGGAACAUUGAGUCGGGGACUUUCCAAAGGGCGUUAACUAACUCUGUGUUAGCAUGGACUCUAGAAGACCUCUUUUGCAAGUCAGCACAAUUAUGGACCAAUCACAGUCUUAGUUUAGUUGGCACCAGCUGACAUUAUGUAAUGAAUUUAUAUAACCAAACUGUAUAAAAGUCUGCUCUGAUUGUAUGAGAGGGUCUUUGAUCACUGAGCAAUCAUUGACUUCCAUUAUUGGUAAUUGCUAGCCUUGCUAAUAAAUAGAUUACACUCAGACUUUUGUGCCCCAGUUUCUCUUAAUCAAAGACUUCUCAAGAUACAAGUGGAUGAGCAGCUUAGGGGUGGUCCAGGCAUGUACAAUAUUCAAAGAGGAAUUGUGUAAAUGUGGGGCAUGUUCACUGAAGAAGUGAGAA